GAGAAAGUAAGCAAGGGCAGACGGUGGAUGCCUUGGCUCUCGGAGGCGACGAAGGACGUGAUAAGCUGCGAAAAGCUCGGGGGAGGCGCAAAUAGCCGUUGAUCCCGGGAUAUCCGAAUGGGGCAACCCGGCAGGCUGAAGGCCUGUCAUCCCGUAAGGGAGGCGAACGUGGGGAACUGAAACAUCUAAGUACCCAUAGGAGGAGAAAAUAAACAAUGAUUCCGUAAGUAGUGGCGAGCGAACACGGAAGAGCCCAAACCCAUGUCGUCUAGGCGACACGGGGGUUGUAGGACCACGACGUGGCAAGAUAGAGUCAAGUGGAACGCCUUGGAAAAGGCGGUCAUAGAGGGUGAAAACCCCGUACACGACUGACGAUUGAAGCCUAGUGGUAUCCUGAGUAGCGCGGGGCACGAGAAAUCUUGCGUGAAACAGCGGGGCCCAUCCCGUAAGGCUAAAUACUCCCGAGAGACCGAUAGCGAACCAGUACCGUGAGGGAAAGGUGAAAAGAACCCCGAGCAGGGGAGUGAAAUAGACCCUGAACCCGUCUGCCUACAAGCGGUCGGAGCAUAGCAAUAUGUGACGGCGUGCCUUUUGCAUAAUGAACCUACGAGUUACCUUCCCCGGCAAGGUUAAGUACCUAAGGUACGGAGCCGAAGCGAAAGCGAGUCUGAAGAGGGCGGCCAGUCGGGGGGGUAGACGCGAAACCGAGUGAUCUACCCUUGGCCAGGUUGAAGGUUGGGUAACACCAACUGGAGGACCGGAUGGGUAAGCGUUGAAAAGCUUUCCAAUGAGCUGAGGGUAGGGGUGAAAGGCUAAUCAAACUCGGAGAUAGCUCGUACUCCCCGAAAUGCAUUUAGGUGCAGCCUCUUUAUAGUAUAUCGUGAGGUAGAGCGACUGAUUGGAUGCGAGGGCUUCACCGCCUAUCAAGUCCAGAUAAACUCCGAAUGCGCGAUAUAUAUUUAAAGGGAGUGAGGGCGCGGGUGCUAAGGUCCGUGUCCGAGAGGAGAAGAAUCCAGACCACCGGCUAAGGCCCCCAAAUGAUCGUUGAGUUGAACUAACGAGGUCGGAUCGCAGAGACAGCUAGGAUGUUGGCUUGGAAGCAGCCAUUCAUUUAAAGAGUGCGUAACAGCUCACUAGUCGAGCGAUCUGGCGUGGAUAAUAAUCGGGCAUAAACGAUCUGCCGAAGCCGUGGAUGUCGUAAGACAUGGUAGGGGAGCAUUCCAUGCGGCGUCGAAGAUGAGGGAUGACCCUUGUUGGAGCGCAUGGAAAAGCAAAUGUAGGUAUGAGUAACGAUAAGGGGGGCGAGAACCCCCCCGCCGAAAGACCAAGGUUUCCUGAUCAACGCUAAUCGGAUCAGGGUGAGUCGGGACCUAAGGCAAAGCCGAACGGCGACGCCGAUGGAAGAAUGGGUUAAUAUUCCCAUACUGCCUCAUGGAGUGACGUGGAGACGGAGAAGUGACAGUCCUGCCGGCUGACGGAAUAGCCGGUUGAAGGGUGUAGAUAUUGAUUCCCGUAGGCAAAUCCGCGGGGAGAGUCGAACCUGACAGUAUACCGAGUACUUGUACGAGGUAAUAUGGACGUAACCAUGCUCCCAAGAAAAUCCGCUAAACUUAUCCAUGCGGCACCCGUACCGUAAACGGACACACGUGGUCGGGUUGAGAAUACUGAGGCGCUCGAGUGAUUCACGGUUAAGGAACUAGGCAAAUUGACCCUGUAACUUCGGGAUAAAGGGUCCUCGUCGUAAGGCGAGGCGCAGAGAAUAGGUCCAGGCAACUGUUUAACAAAAACACAUGGCUAUGCUAAAUGGAAACAUGACGUAUAUAGCCUGACACCUGCCCGGUGCUGGAAGGUUAAGAGGAGAUGUCAUCGCAAGAGAAGCGUUGAAUUGAAGCCCCAGUAAACGGCGGCCGUAACUAUAACGGUCCUAAGGUAGCGAAAUUCCUUGUCGGGUAAGUUCCGACCUGCACGAAUGGUGUAAUGAUCUGGACACUGUCUCAACCGUGAGCUCGGUGAAAUUGUAGUAUCGGUGAAGAUGCCGAUUACCCGCGAUGGGACGAAAAGACCCCGUGAACCUUUACUAUAGCUUUACAUUGAAUUUGGGCAGACGAUGUGUAGGAUAGGCCGGAGGCUUUGAAGGGGGUACGCCAGUAUCCUUGGAGCCGCCGUUGAAAUACGGCCCUUCGGUUGUUUGAGUUCUAACUCCUAGGCAGGAGGACACUGUAUGGUGGGUAGUUUGACUGGGGUGGUCGCCUCCAAAAGCGUAACGGAGGCUUCUAAAGGUGCCCUCAGACCGAUUGGUAACCGGUCGCAGAGUGUAAUGGCAUAAGGGCGCUUGACUGGGAGAGAUACAACUCGAUCAGGUAGGAAACUAGAGCAUAGUGAUCCGGUGGUUCCGCAUGGAAGGGCCAUCGCUCAAAGGAUAAAAGGUACUCCGGGGAUAACAGGCUGAUCAUUCCCAAGAGCUCAUAUCGACGGAAUGGUUUGGCACCUCGAUGUCGGCUCGUCACAUCCUGGGGCUGGAGAAGGUCCCAAGGGUUGGGCUGUUCGCCCAUUAAAGUGGCACGCGAGCUGGGUUCAGAACGUCGUGAGACAGUUCGGUCUCUAUCUAUCGUGGGCGCAGGAGAUUUGAGGGGCUCUGACACUAGUACGAGAGGACCGUGUUGGACGUACCACUGGUUUACCGGUUGUCCCGCCGGGGCACCGCCGGGUAUCUAAGUACGGAUCGGAUAAGUGCUGAAAGCAUCUAAGUACGAAGCCGGCCUCAAGAUUAGAUCUCCCUCAAGGGUGGUUAUAGACGAUGACCUUGAUAGGCCACAGGUGUAAGGGCGGCGACGUCCGAGCCGAGUGGUACUAAUAGCCCGGGACUUUCCUCA
rnacentral:rRNA from 1 species